rnacentral:rRNA from 1 species
UACGGAGGGAGCUAGCGUUGUUCGGAAUUACUGGGCGUAAAGCGUACGUAGGCGGUUAUUCAAGUCAGAGGUGAAAGCCCGGGGCUCAACCCCGGAACUGCCUUUGAAACUAGAUAGCUAGAAUCUUGGAGAGGUCAGUGGAAUUCCGAGUGUAGAGGUGAAAUUCGUAGAUAUUCGGAAGAACACCAGUGGCGAAGGCGACUGACUGGACAAGUAUUGACGCUGAGGUACGAAAGCGUGGGGAGCAAACAGGG